CUUUCUUCGUCGGUCCAGUGUUUCAUUCCCCAAUCAUCCACGGUCUUCCUUUCCUCCUUCACAGAACGAGUCGCCGCCGCUGAAGAAGUCGCCGUCCAGCCACGGUUUGAAGGUGCCGGUGAGAGAAAUCGCAGCUCCGGGGAAGAAGAUCGCAGCUAUUAGUUGUGAAUUUCGGCGCUCAGGUUCGGUGUGAAGCAUUCGGCGGUGGUCGGUGUUCCCUGGCUCAGAUCCGGCGCUCAGGCUGGUGGAUUGGACACGCUCACUCAUAACAGCUUAGUAGCAUAUAGAUCUGCAAAUCAGCAGGCAGUGCAAAUUCCAUUUGCUCCAGUAAGACACAUCCCUCCGGCGCCGGCCGUCCAAAUCGCCGUCGUGGCUCAAUAAGAAGCAAAUCCAUUUGAAGUGCAAAUACCAUUUGCUCCAUCGAGCGACAUCCCCCAAAUGGCAGAUAUGGCUCAACCACAAGCGAACCCAUUUGAUCAUUACACGCCCUAUUAUCAGUCUCAUCAGCAACAUGAUGUGUGGAUGAAUCUAGCCAAUCCCUUUGCUCAUUGGGCGUAUACUGGGAAUCCUGUUUCACAACCACAGGUCAUUCAUGGAGCGUUUCAUCAAGAAGCUAACAUCAGCCGAAAUUGGAAGCAUCCUCCAAGGGAAUAAUCGGUAUCGAUAUAUAUAAUGCAGAAAAUAGAAGCAGAGAGAAAGUAGUAAUUAAAACAUGCUGGAGUGAAAAUAAUACGCAGUAGUUCCUCCCCCCACCCCCCACCCCCCCAAAAAUUGAAACUAUUUUGAUGUAUAAUGGCCAUGGACCUUGAUGAGAAUGAACUAUGUUGAUGUAUUGUGGAUCCAUAGAAUGAAUAAUGGAAUUAUUCAGUGAAUUGUCUCUGUUA